rnacentral:rRNA from 1 species
AAAGCGCAUGCAGGCGGCCUGUUAAGUCAGAUGUGAAAGCCCGGGGCUUAACCUCGGAAUUGCAUUUUGAAACUGGCAGGCUAGAGUCUUGUAGAGGGGGUAGAAUUUCAGGUGUAGCGGUGAAAUGCGUAGAGAUCUGAAGGAAUACCAGUGGCGAAGGCGGCCCCCUGGACAAAGACUGACGCUCAGAUGCGAAAGCGUGGGGAGCAAACAGGAUUAGACACCCUGGUAG